UGCAGUCGUACGCACUGGCCCAACUGAUUGAUGGUGCUUGCACCUGAUUGACGAUGGAUCACCAGUGAGUGGCGGACGGGUGAGUAACACGUAGGUAACCUGCCCCGGAGCGGGGGAUAACAUUUGGAAACAGAUGCUAAUACCGCAUAACAACAAAAGCCGCAUGGCUUUUGUUUGAAAGAUGGCUUUGGCUAUCACUCUGGGAUGGACCUGCGGUGCAUUAGCUAGUUGGUAAGGUAACGGCUUACCAAGGCGAUGAUGCAUAGCCGAGUUGAGAGACUGAUCGGCCACAAUGGAACUGAGACACGGUCCAUACUCCUACGGGAGGCAGCAGUAGGGAAUCUUCCACAAUGGGCGCAAGCCUGAUGGAGCAACACCGCGUGAGUGAAGAAGGGUUUCGGCUCGUAAAGCUCUGUUGUUGGAGAAGAACGUGCGUGAGAGUAACUGUUCACGCAGUGACGGUAUCCAACCAGAAAGUCACGGCUAACUACGUGCCAGCAGCCGCGGUAAUACGUAGGUGGCAAGCGUUAUCCGGAUUUAUUGGGCGUAAAGCGAGCGCAGGCGGUUGCUUAGGUCUGAUGUGAAAGCCUUCGGCUUAACCGAAGAAGUGCAUCGGAAACCGGGCGACUUGAGUGCAGAAGAGGACAGUGGAACUCCAUGUGUAGCGGUGGAAUGCGUAA
rnacentral:rRNA from 1 species